rnacentral:rRNA from 1 species
AUACGGAGGAUCCGAGCGUUAUCCGGAUUUAUUGGGUUUAAAGGGUGCGCAGGCGGGAGAUUAAGUCGGCGGUGAAAUUUUGCAGCUCAACUGUAAAAGUGCCUUCGAUACUGGUUUCCUUGAGUGUGGAUGAAGUAGGCGGAAUUUGUGGUGUAGCGGUGGAAUGCUUAGAUAUCACGAGGAACUCCGAUUGCGCAGGCAGCUUACUAAACCACUACUGACGCUCAGGCACGAAGGCGUGGGGAUCAAACAGGAUUAGAUACCCUGGUAGUCCACGCAGUAAACGAUGAUUACUGGCUGUUUGCGAUACAAUGUAAGCGGCUGAGCGAAAGCGUUAAGUAAUCCACCUGGGGAGUACGUUCGCAAGAAUGAAACUCAAAGGAAUUGACGGGG